UACGUAGGGGGCUAGCGUUGUCCGGAAUCAUUGGGCGUAAAGAGCUCGUAGGCGGCCUGUCGCGUCGGAUGUGAAAGCCCGGGGCUUAACCCCGGGUCUGCAUUCGAUACGGGCAGGCUAGAGUGUGGUAGGGGAGAUCGGAAUUCCUGGUGUAGCGGUGAAAUGCGCAGAUAUCAGGAGGAACACCGGUGGCGAAGGCGGAUCUCUGGGCCAUUACUGACGCUGAGGAGCGAAAGCGUGGGGAGCGAACAGG
rnacentral:rRNA from 1 species